rnacentral:rRNA from 1 species
AUCUGGCCAUAUCACCCUGAAAAAAACAAUCUCAUCUGAUCUCAGAAGCUAAGUGGCUCCAAGCCUAAGUUAGUAAUUGGAUGGGAGACCACCUAGGAAUAAUGGGUGACAUAGGUU